AUGAUGGGAGCCACACCCACCUCGAAUCCUAUCAACCCCACCUCUGAUCUGAGUCCACUGCAUUCCUGGGUAGGGAGGACGGAAAAAUGCAGAGGGGCCUCCCCUCCGGACCCUUCGUCCCUAGGCCUGUUCUCACUUCCCCAUCGCUCUGUGCGGCUCUCCACAGGCCUGAGCUUCAUACAACCUGCACUCGCCCACUCCCUUCAGUCGAAAACCAGCCCCACUGCUCCUCGGAGCCUGAGCCAGCUGCACUCCAUAGCUUCCAGGCCCUCCUCCACAGACAGGGCUGGCUUAUCCCGCAAACGGGCAAAGCCAGGUCACACCUUUAGCUAUCUUGGGGAAAACUUACAAUCCUGUUGGGCUUCCUUCCUCUUAUUUUGGUUUCAGUUUUGGUUUUAUUUUUGAAACGUGUGGGAGAAAAGCCUAUAAAGAACUUCUGUAAUGUCUUUAUUUUGAAAAGCUUCAAAUUUAAAGAAAAAAGUUACAAGAAGAAUACAUGGCACAGGUGUAUUUAUCCUGGAUUCAUGGGUGCUAACAUCCCACCAGCUUACUUUCUCCCUCUGUGGGUAGCUACAUACUGUGAUUACCAUUGGCCUGUGAGUCACCUGAGGCUAUGCUGCAGACAUCACAUCACAGUCCCUGAAUAUCUCAGUGCUGUCUCCAGAGGAAAUGGGCUUUUCUGAUAUGACACCCAGACGAAAGUUACGCCCCAGGUUUGGGCGCCGCAGUAACACCCCUACCUAAUGCACAAUGCGAGUCUGAUCUUUGCCAAUUGUCCCCCAAAUGCCAGGCCCACGAGCAGCCUCGGUUGCCCGGCCGUUAAUCUGCUGUCAUCCAGGGCGGUCUCGCGGUGUUCCUCGGUGUUUCUCGGUGGACGCUGACACCGCAGGAAGAGCUGCCUAGCUGGCACGUGUCCCGAAAUUGGGGUUCAACUGGAUUUUCCCUGUGUGAUGCGCUCAGUGCAGCGUUUUCUGCAGGAAGGCCACAGGGCCACAUGGUGUGUCCUCAACACAACCGUUUGCUGCGCGGGGACCCGUCCCGACAGGCGGGUCUGCAUGCACGGCUGUGCGGACUCGCCCUGGAGCCGGCUCGCUCUCCGCGCGGCCCAGCCGGCGACGGGCGGCGGGACUGCAACUCCCAGA
rnacentral:lncRNA from 1 species